rnacentral:rRNA from 1 species
CAGUAGCCGCGGUAAUACGUAGGGGGCAAGCGUUAUCCGGAAUUACUGGGCGUAAAGGGUGCGUAGGCGGCUUGUUAAGUCAAGGUUAAAAGGCAGCAGCUCAACUGCUGUUCGGCCUUGAAACUAAUAAGCUUGAGUAUAGGAGAGGAAAGUGGAAUUCCCAGUGUAGCGGUGAAAUGCGUAGAUAUUGGGAGGAACACCAGUGGCGAAGGCGGCUUUCUGGACUGCAACUGACGCUGAGGCUCGAAAGCCAGGGGAGCGAACGGGAUUAGAUACCCCAGUAGUCCCUGUCUCUUAUACA